rnacentral:rRNA from 1 species
CCUACGGGUGGCAGCAGUAGGGAAUCUUCCACAAUGGGCGCAAGCCUGAUGGAGCAACACCGCGUGAGUGAAGAAGGGUUUCGGCUCGUAAAGCUCUGUUGUUGGAGAAGAACGUGCGUGAGCGUAACUGUUUACGCAGUGCCGGUACCCAACCAGAAAGUCACGGCUAACUACGUGACAGCAGCCGCUGUAAUACGUAGGUGGCAAGCGUUAUCCGGUUUUAUUGGGCGUAAAGCGGGCGCAGGCGGUUGCUUAGGGUUGAUGUGAAAGCCUUCGGCUUAACCGAAGAAGGGCCUCGGAAACCGGGCGACUUGAGUGCAGAAGAGGACAGUGGAA